GAUGAACGCUGGCGGCGUGCUUAACACAUGCAAGUCGAGCGAGAUUAUUCUUCGGAAUAGUCUAGCGGCGGACGGGUGAGUAACACGUGGGCAACCUACCUCAUAGAGGGGAAUAGCCUUCCGAAAGGAAGAUUAAUACCGCAUAAGAUUGUAGCUUCGCAUGAAGCAGCAAUUAAAGGAGCAAUCCGCUAUGAGAUGGGCCCGCGGCGCAUUAGCUAGUUGGUGAGGUAACGGCUCACCAAGGCGACGAUGCGUAGCCGACCUGAGAGGGUGAUCGGCCACAUUGGGACUGAGACACGGCCCAGACUCCUACGGGAGGCAGCAGUGGGGAAUAUUGCACAAUGGGGGAAACCCUGAUGCAGCAAUGCCGCGUGAGUGAUGACGGCCUUCGGGUUGUAAAGCUCUGUCUUCGGGGACGAUAAUGACGGUACCCGAGGAGGAAGCCACGGCUAACUACGUGCCAGCCGCCGCAGUAA
rnacentral:rRNA from 1 species